rnacentral:sRNA from 1 species
ACCGCGAGAAUCGUCGGAAACGCCAGCGGCGUAAGGGCCAAUCGCAGAUCGGAUGGUUGGCCCGGCUC